rnacentral:piRNA from 1 species
UGAGUAGAGAUGUAGUCUACAUGGUUC